UGCACCCCUAGACGGCUGACUACACCGGGCCCUGGGCACCCUGGCUCUGAGUGGCCACAUAACGCGGUGCUGGUGGCAAAAUCUGAAGUCAGGCCCACAUGGUUUGUAUCUUGCAGCCACUGCUUAGUAACUGCUUAGUGCGUUUGGGCAACUGAUUUAACUUCUCUGAGCCUUAGGUUCCUCUACUAUAAAAUGUGGAUAAAAAUAUUCCUGACUAUAGUGUUGUAAUGAUUGAAUGAGAUUAAAGCACUUGGAAUGGUGUCCAACACACAGUGGGCACUAAAUAAAUAUUAGCUGUUAUUAUUAUUAUUAUUUGAAACAGAGUCUCGUUCUGUCGCCCAGAUUGGAGUGCAGUGGUGUGAUCUCGGCUCACUGCAACCUCGGCCUCUCAGGCUCAAGCGAUUCUCAUGCCUCAGCCUCCUGAGUAGCUGGGAUUAUAGGUGCCCGCCACCAAGCCCGGCUAAUUUUUUAUUUUUAUUUUUAGUAGAGACGGGGUUUCACCAUGUUGGCCAGGCUGGUCUCGAACACCUGACUUCAAGUGAUCCGCCCGCCUCGGCCUCCCAAAGUGCUGGGAUUACAGGCGUGGGCCACCGUGCCUGGCCUAGCUAUUAUUAAUUAUCAUUCACUACCUUAAGACCAGAGAUGAGAACUGAUGACCCCAGGUAAUUGUCAACUCAGAUUCUAUUUGUCUGUGAUGUCAUUAGUAAAUAAUUCUGUUACCUCCUGGCAUUGUCAUACUCAUGCCAUGAUUUUAUGAGUCGCCAAGUCUGUGGUCUGCCACAUGAUAGGCCUCAGCCCUGGGCACCCACUCUCUCCCAGUUCCUGGCGUGAGGUACGUGAAAGGCCCCCCAAAGGCCCUGGCUCAGUGCCAGCUGCCCCGGCCAGACGCCCAUCCAUCUCGCCCCUCCGCCCCACCCUCACCAUCUGUCUCUACCAGUGCCCGUCGGUCUGGCUAGCACUGAUGCUCAGCUUGGGAGAGUCCCCAGAGCCUCCAGGGGUCAGGGACGGCGCUGGUCUUUGGCAGAGCCACAGCUGGAAAGCCAUCCUUCAACACGGUCCCUCACCCUUCUCCUGAGCCCCAAGGCAGUCCUGCCACUGCCUGUGUGGCUUUCGGUGAGGCACCUGACUCCUCUGAGACUCAACUUCCUCAUCUGAGAAGUGGGGGCAAUGUGGUCUUUCUUACCCACUUCACUGGGAGAUGGGCCAUUUGGGGGGAUUCAGGAGAGCUGCAUCUUCAGUGUAAAGUCCCCACAAGCAUCAGCAGGGUCAUCAGCACGGCUUGGCUGUUCUGGGCCCCUGAAUGUGCCUCCACUGCAGAGGGCUGGCCUGGAGCAGCUUUCCUGAUGUCCCUUCCAGGCCCUGGGGGGGGCCCCGCAGGCAGGACCUGGCCUCUCCUCAUCUUCCACCAGGUCCUUCUGCCUUCUCAGGAAGCCUUGCUUUGGGAAGGAGUUUUUCUGCUUAAAAGACUGCCUGCGGAGGGCCUCAGACACUGGGCUGAGAUGGAUCCAGUCGGCCUGGAGCGCCAUGGCAGGUUCCUGAGCAGUGAAUUAUCCCAGCUCGUCACCCUCAUCAUCCCAGCGAGACAGCCAACAGUCACCUGUUCCACGGAGGCGGUUCAGCAGGUCAGAGUGAAACCAGGCCUUGUCGCCUUCCCUGGCCUGGGAGACUCUGGCAGACCCUGACUCGAGGCCCAGAGAAGCCCCUGACUCUCCAGUGUGGCCAAGAUCGAAGCUCUCCCUGGUGACCCCAGAGGCAAGGGCCCCAGCCCACACUUUCCAUCUGCUGGCCAAGGUCCUGGGUCCUGGGGUCCUGCAGGCUCCACAAUCCCAAUAUCCAACCCUUCUGACUCUGCUUUGCUUUGCAUUGUGUUCAGGUGGAGCCUAUUUUAAGCAAAGGCAAGAGAAGAAAAUCUAAAUGCGAAAAAGAAAUGAGGUCAUAAAUGAAGAUUUCUCUAAAAAGCUGGGUCCGCCGUUGCAUUUAAAUACUGGGAUCUGGUUUGCAGAAAUAAAGCAUCGGUGCAAUCAA